rnacentral:lncRNA from 1 species
AUGCAGGCGUGUGGAGCUCCGGAGUGGAGCUGGCGUGGCCAGAUCAACGGGGCAGAGGCCUGAGACGGAGAAAGGAGUGCUGGCCCCGCAGCGAGCUGAGAGCUGACGGUGGCUACAACAGGGCUUCCCCGGCCGAACCGGAACCGGGCGUCCAGAGCCUGGGAGCCGGACCAGCCACUGGUGAGUGAUCUGAAUGUGUGACUCAAUGCCCUUUAUCCCCCAAACCAGUGCGGCUCUACCCGCCCC